AGUGAACGCUGGCGGUAGGCCUAACACAUGCAAGUCGAACGGCAGCACAGUAAGAGCUUGCUCUUACGGGUGGCGAGUGGCGGACGGGUGAGGAAUACAUCGGAAUCUACUUUUUCGUGGGGGAUAACGUAGGGAAACUUACGCUAAUACCGCAUACGACCUACGGGUGAAAGCAGGGGAUCUUCGGACCUUGCGCGAUUGAAUGAGCCGAUGUCGGAUUAGCUAGUUGGCGGGGUAAAGGUCCACCAAGGCGACGAUCCGUAGCUGGUCUGAGAGGAUGAUCAGCCACACUGGAACUGAGACACGGUCCAGACUCCUACGGGAGGCAGCAGUGGGGAAUAUUGGACAAUGGGCGCAAGCCUGAUCCGGCCAUACCGCGUGAGUGAAGAAGGCCUUCGGGUUGUAAAGCCCUUUUGUUGGGAAAGAAAAGCAGCAGGUUAAUACCCCGCUGUUCUGACGGUACCCAAAGAAUAAGCACCGGCUAACUUCGUG
rnacentral:rRNA from 1 species